ensembl:lncRNA
CCUGGAGAAGCGGGGGUUGACCUGGGCCUUGAAGGAAGGAUAUGGAAGGGACCAGUGAGGCAGUUCCCAGCAGGGAGGGAGUUCCCAGCAGCAGGGAUGGCAUGUGCAAAGGCCCAGAGGAUGGAUCAGGGGCCAGUUAAUGGCUCUAUCAGACCCCAGGAGAAGCUCGGGAGAUAAGUUAGAAGAAGAAGAGGUCCUAUCAAACCUACAUGUUCCAGUCUUAUUUGAGGCCUCGGAUUUCUGACUCCAGCGAUCAGGAGGCGGUAGACAGCUUCCUCGCCACCCACACAUGCACACAGAAGGUUGCCCCCUCAUACCACAGAUGGGAAACAGAAGCCUUGAAGAGACAAAGGCAGGGGACAAAGAGGCAGAGCUGUGUCCUUUUCAACUGCACAUCCCCAGCACAAAGCCCAGCACCACGUGCACAAGAGAGGAUAGUGUAUGUUUGUGGAGCCAAACUUGGGGGCCAGGCCUCCAGCACUGGCCAAUGGGCAACCGACUGGAAGUUAAAGAGGUGCACAGC